CCAGCGGAGGGAUCAUUACCGGAUUUUACAGAAUCCCCAACCCUUUGUGAACAUACCCAUCGUUGCUUCGGCGGACUCGCCCCGGCGUCCGGACGGCCUCGCGCCGCUCGCGACCCGGGUCCAGGCGGCCGCCGGGGACCCCAAACUCUGUAUUCCUUCAACCAUCUUCUGAAUCCGCCGCAAGGCAACACAAAUGAAUCAAAACUUUCAACAACGGAUCUCUUGGUUCUGGCAUCGAUGAAGAACGCAGCGAAAUGCGAUAAGUAAUGUGAAUUGCAGAAUUCAGUGAAUCAUCGAAUCUUUGAACGCACAUUGCGCCCGCCAGCAUUCUGGCGGGCAUGCCUGUUCGAGCGUCAUUUCACCCCUCGACCCCGCGCUUAGUGGAGUCGGCGUUGGGGGACGGCACCACCCCGCCGCCCCCGAAACGAAUCGGCGGCCCGUCCGCGGCGACCUCUGCGUAGUAACUCAACGCGCACCGGAACCCCGACGCGGCCACGCCGUAAAACACCCAACUCUGAACGUUGACCUCGAAUCAGGUAGGACUACCCGCUGAACUUAAGCAUAUCAAUA
rnacentral:rRNA from 1 species